CCAUGGGCUAUGUUGGUCCACUGUUACCCCCUGAAUGGUCCCCAGUGCAUGUAGCCGCAUGAAUCAGAGAUAUCAUAGGGGACGGGGAUUCUCGUGUACUCUUUGCCCUCCAUGAUACAGAUAUGCAAGUAUAACUUAGGGGAUUACCAUUUACCCCGCAAGUAUAUGGUCAGCAUGAUCAACCCUCAUGUCGACAAAUAUGAGUUUCCAGUGUCCGUCUGUUGGACUCACACCUUUACGGUCAGCUAUCACACCCCG
rnacentral:lncRNA from 1 species